ACCAGGAUGGCCGAGUGGUUAAGGCGUUGGACUUAAGAUCCAAUGAACGUAUGUCCGCGUGGGUUCGAACCCCACUUCUGGUA
rnacentral:tRNA from 1 species